rnacentral:tRNA from 1 species
GGGGGCGUAGCUCAACAGGUAGAGCAAGAGACUUUUAAUCUCUAGGUAGUGGGUUCGAGUCCCACCGCCCUCA